AAUGAAGCUGUUGUUGAUAAGUUCCUGCUUACGGACUGGUAUAAAUACUACAGAACGAAUUUCACUUUAUAUCAUUCAGGAUUAACUUUUGAGUCUGCAGUUUCGGAUCGUCCUCAAUAUCCUAAUUCGUGAGAUUUUUAACAAGUAUGAGUUCAAAAGUCCUUCAGACGGCUGUGUUGGCUGCAGCAACGCUUCUUUUUCUGAUCGCACUUCCAUUGGUGAACUGCAGCCGCCGUAAUACUUUGAGAAUUGAAGAACUAGACGAUAAUUUAAGCGUUAAAGGUUACGAUCAUGGAAAAAGAGAGAACACAAUGAACCAGCCAAUGAAACGCGUUGCUGAGAAGAAGUUUUCUGUAGCUGAA